rnacentral:rRNA from 1 species
GGGUUGUGAGGUUAAGCGACUAAGCGUACACGGUGGAUGCCCUGGCAGUCAGAGGCGAUGAAGGACGUGCUAAUCUGCGAUAAGCGUCGGUGAGGUGAUAUGAACCGUUAUAACCGGCGAUUUCCGAAUGGGGAAACCCAGUGUGUUUCGACACACUAUCAUUAACUGAAUCCAUAGGUUAAUGAGGCGAACCGGGGGAACUGAAACAUCUAAGUACCCCGAGGAAAAGAAAUCAACCGAGAUUCCCCCAGUAGCGGCGAGCGAACGGGGAGGAGCCCAGAGCCUGAAUCAGUGUGUGUGUUAGUGGAAGCGUCUGGAAAGGCGCGCGAUACAGGGUGACAGCCCCGUACACAAAAAUGCACAUACUGUGAGCUCGAUGAGUAGGGCGGGACACGUGGUAUCCUGUCUGAAUAUGGGGGGACCAUCCUCCAAGGCUAAAUACUCCUGACUGACCGAUAGUGAACCAGUACCGUGAGGGAAAGGCGAAAAGAACCCCGGCGAGGGGAGUGAAAAAGAACCUGAAACCGUGUACGUACAAGCAGUGGGAGCCUCUUAAUGGGGUGACUGCGUACCUUUUGUAUAAUGGGUCAGCGACUUAUAUUCUGUAGCAAGGUUAACCGAAUAGGGGAGCCGAAGGGAAACCGAGUCUUAACUGGGCGUUAAGUUGCAGGGUAUAGACCCGAAACCCGGUGAUCUAGCCAUGGGCAGGUUGAAGGUUGGGUAACACUAACUGGAGGACCGAACCGACUAAUGUUGAAAAAUUAGCGGAUGACUUGUGGCUGGGGGUGAAAGGCCAAUCAAACCGGGAGAUAGCUGGUUCUCCCCGAAAGCUAUUUAGGUAGCGCCUCGUGAAUUCAUCUCCGGGGGUAGAGCACUGUUUCGGCAAGGGGGUCAUCCCGACUUACCAACCCGAUGCAAACUGCGAAUACCGGAGAAUGUUAUCACGGGAGACACACGGCGGGUGCUAACGUCCGUCGUGAAGAGGGAAACAACCCAGACCGCCAGCUAAGGUCCCAAAGUCAUGGUUAAGUGGGAAACGAUGUGGGAAGGCCCAGACAGCCAGGAUGUUGGCUUAGAAGCAGCCAUCAUUUAAAGAAAGCGUAAUAGCUCACUGGUCGAGUCGGCCUGCGCGGAAGAUGUAACGGGGCUAAACCAUGCACCGAAGCUGCGGCAGCGACACUAUGUGUUGUUGGGUAGGGGAGCGUUCUGUAAGCCUGUGAAGGUGUACUGUGAGGUAUGCUGGAGGUAUCAGAAGUGCGAAUGCUGACAUAAGUAACGAUAAAGCGGGUGAAAAGCCCGCUCGCCGGAAGACCAAGGGUUCCUGUCCAACGUUAAUCGGGGCAGGGUGAGUCGACCCCUAAGGCGAGGCCGAAAGGCGUAGUCGAUGGGAAACAGGUUAAUAUUCCUGUACUUGGUGUUACUGCGAAGGGGGGACGGAGAAGGCUAUGUUGGCCGGGCGACGGUUGUCCCGGUUUAAGCGUGUAGGCUGGUUUUCCAGGCAAAUCCGGAAAAUCAAGGCUGAGGCGUGAUGACGAGGCACUACGGUGCUGAAGCGACAAAUGCCCUGCUUCCAGGAAAAGCCUCUAAGCAUCAGGUAACAUCAAAUCGUACCCCAAACCGACACAGGUGGUCAGGUAGAGAAUACCAAGGCGCUUGAGAGAACUCGGGUGAAGGAACUAGGCAAAAUGGUGCCGUAACUUCGGGAGAAGGCACGCUGAUAUGUAGGUGAAGCGACUUGCUCGUGGAGCUGAAAUCAGUCGAAGAUACCAGCUGGCUGCAACUGUUUAUUAAAAACACAGCACUGUGCAAACACGAAAGUGGACGUAUACGGUGUGACGCCUGCCCGGUGCCGGAAGGUUAAUUGAUGGGGUUAGCGGUAACGCGAAGCUCUUGAUCGAAGCCCCGGUAAACGGCGGCCGUAACUAUAACGGUCCUAAGGUAGCGAAAUUCCUUGUCGGGUAAGUUCCGACCUGCACGAAUGGCGUAAUGAUGGCCAGGCUGUCUCCACCCGAGACUCAGUGAAAUUGAACUCGCUGUGAAGAUGCAGUGUACCCGCGGCAAGACGGAAAGACCCCGUGAACCUUUACUAUAGCUUGACACUGAACAUUGAGCCUUGAUGUGUAGGAUAGGUGGGAGGCUUUGAAGUGUGGACGCCAGUCUGCAUGGAGCCGACCUUGAAAUACCACCCUUUAAUGUUUGAUGUUCUAACGUGGGCCCCUUACCGGGGUUGCGGACAGUGUCUGGUGGGUAGUUUGACUGGGGCGGUCUCCUCCUAAAGAGUAACGGAGGAGCACGAAGGUUGGCUAAUCCUGGUCGGACAUCAGGAGGUUAGUGCAAUGGCAUAAGCCAGCUUGACUGCGAGCGUGACGGCGCGAGCAGGUGCGAAAGCAGGUCAUAGUGAUCCGGUGGUUCUGAAUGGAAGGGCCAUCGCUCAACGGAUAAAAGGUACUCCGGGGAUAACAGGCUGAUACCGCCCAAGAGUUCAUAUCGACGGCGGUGUUUGGCACCUCGAUGUCGGCUCAUCACAUCCUGGGGCUGAAGUAGGUCCCAAGGGUAUGGCUGUUCGCCAUUUAAAGUGGUACGCGAGCUGGGUUUAGAACGUCGUGAGACAGUUCGGUCCCUAUCUGCCGUGGGCGCUGGAGAACUGAGGGGGCUGCUCCUAGUACGAGAGGACCGGAGUGGACGCAUCACUGGUGUUCGGGUUGUCAUGCCAAUGGCACUGCCCGGUAGCUAAAUGCGGAAGAGAUAAGUGCUGAAAGCAUCUAAGCACGAAACUUGCCCCGAGAUGAGUUCUCCCUGACUCCUUGAGAGUCCUGAAGGAACGUUGAAGACGACGACGUUGAUAGGCCGGGUGUGUAAGCGCAGCGAUGCGUUGAGCUAACCGGUACUAAUGAACCGUGAGGCUUAACCUUACAACGCCGAAG